rnacentral:lncRNA from 1 species
GAAAAGAAGGAAGUACACUGCGGAUAUUGACAUUUUCAGGGAAAAUAUGCUCAUUCCAUAGGAGAGGUCAAGAGGAAAAAGGAAAUUCAUGCUAGCAUUCACCAGAUUAAUCUCAUGAGAAAACCACUUCAUCUUUUUUUCCCCAUUCAUGGUUUAACAAGGAUGCAAUUUAUCGAGAAAAAAUUUCAGAUUAUGAAAAUGCCCAAAAGGUGUUUGACCAAAUGCCUUGAUCAAGAUUUCUCCUCCAACUACGGCUGUUCAGUUAACUAUGGCGCACUAUGAACUCCGGCGACCACCGCUGCAUUAACCUUUGGUACGACUCUUGUAAUAUACACUAGGCAACACAACGCUCAUUUUUGUCUAUGGAGAGCAUUAAAUUGAUAGUGACAAGGUAGUAAUGGUGAUGGUGUGUUCAAACAAAGGUUGGUGGUCCUUUAAAGCUUUCUUGCAGGCUUUGCUGUCAAAUAAAGGUU